rnacentral:rRNA from 1 species
UACAGGGGGUGCAAGCGUUGUUCGGAAUUACUGGGCGUAAAGCGCGGGCAGGUGGCCUUUUAAGUCCUUUGUGAAAUCCCGGAGCUCAACUCCGGAUGUGCAUAGGAUACUGGAAGGCUUGGGACUGGUAGAGGCGAGCGGAAUUCCUGGUGUAGCGGUGGAAUGCGUAGAUAUCGGGAGGAACACCAGUGGCGAAGGCGGCUCACUGGACUGGUACUGACGCUGAGGCAGAAAGCGUGGGGAACAAACGG